CACAGAAAUCACCGACUUCAACAAGCAGAAAUUGCAAACGCCAAGCGGAACAUACUGCUUCCCUCCAACCAAAGGGUUUUUCAAAUCCGACGAAGGUGCGGUGCUAUGUGAAUGCAACCAUCCAGUGCCUUAUCGCAAGUGGGAUUGGGGAGUACAUGUGUGCCCAGAACUUCCCAAAUGACAGCUUCUUACAGUGGCUGGGAAAUUUCAUCAGAUCCCAUAGUCAGCUUGUUCGGUCUGAAGUGGUAGAUACGACAGAGCUGAUUGCUCAAGUCAGAAGCCAGUUUAGCCAGCUACGCUGUCCAACUCAGCAGGACGCAGCUGAGUUCUUUGAGCUUUUGAUGAAUAAGAUGCCAGCUGCAGGGCCUUGGACAGCUGAAUUUUCUGUAGAGACAACAUGCCAUGACUGCACCAUUGUCAGCAAAAAAGAGGAGAAGAAGCCAUACAUUCAUGUGCCAACAAACAUCAGUGAGGACAAUGAGUUGGCUAUAAGUGAGCUCUUGCAUUUACACAUGGUGUCAGGACAUUGUGACUGGAUGGACCU